rnacentral:rRNA from 1 species
GGAAAACUCACCAGGUCCAGACAUAAUAAGGAUUGACAGAUUGACAGCUCUUUCUUGAUUUUAUGGGUGGUGGUGCAUGGCCGUUCUUAGUUCGUGGAGUGAUCUGUCUGCUUAAUUGCGUUAACGAACGAGACCUUAACCUGCUAAAUAGACGCAGCUAUCUUCGGAUAAGUGUUGGUCUUCUUAGAGGGACUGUGUGCGUUUCAGCACGCGGAAGUUUGAGGCUAAAA